UUUUGCAGGGAACGAGGAAAGACGGUACCUGCAGAAUAAGUCUCGGCUAACUACGUGCCAGCAGCCGCGGUAAAACGUAGGAGACGAGCGUUAUCCGGAUUUACUGGGCGUAAAGCGCGUGCAGGCGGCAUGGCAAGUUGGAUGUGAAAGCUCCUGGCUUAACUGGGAGAGGUCGUUCAAUACUGCCAAGCUUGAGAGUGGUAGAGGGAAGCGGAAUUCCGGGUGUAGUGGUGAAAUGCGUAGAUAUCCGGAGGAACACCAGUGGCGAAAGCGGCUUCCUGGUCCAUUUCUGACGCUCAGACGCGAAAGCUAGGGUAGCAAACGGGAUUAGAGACCCCGGNUAGUC
rnacentral:rRNA from 1 species